CAGCCGCCGCGGUAAUACCGGCGGCCCGAGUGGCGGUCACUAUUAUUGGGCUUAAAACGUCCGUAGCCGGGUUGGGAAGUCCUCCGGGAAAUCUGGCCGCUUAACGGUCAGAAUGCCGGAGGAUACUCCCAGCCUAGGGAGCGGGAGAGGCCGAGGGUAUUCCCGGAGGAGGGGGGAAAUCCUAUAAUCCCGGGAGGACCACCUGUGGCGAAGGCGCUCGGCUGGAACGCGUCCGACGGUGAGGGACGAAGGCCAGGGGAGCAAACCGGAUUAGAUACCCGGGUAGUCCUGGCUGUAAACGAUGCGGACUUUGUGUCGGACAAGCUAUGAGCUUGUCCGGUGCCGGAGGGAAACCGUUAAGUCCGCCGCCUGGGGAGUACGGCCGCAAGGCUGAAACUUAAAGGAAUUGGCGGG
rnacentral:rRNA from 1 species